rnacentral:rRNA from 1 species
AAAUUGAAGAGUUUGAUCAUGGCUCAGAUUGAACGCUGGCGGCAGGCCUAACACAUGCAAGUCGAACGGUAACAGGAAGCAGCUUGCUGCUUCGCUGACGAGUGGCGGACGGGUGAGUAAUGUCUGGGAAACUGCCUGAUGGGAGGGGGAUAACUACUGGAAACGGUGGCUAAUACCGCAUAACGUCGCAAGACCAAAGAGGGGGACCUUCGGGCCUCUUGCCAUCAGAUGUGCCCAGAUGAGAUUAGCUUGUUGGUGAGGUAACGGCUCACCAAGGCGACGAUCCCUAGCUGGUCUGAGAGGAUGACCAGCCACACUGGAACUGAGACACGGUCCAGACUCCUACGGGA